AACGAACGCUGGCGGCGCGCCUAACACAUGCAAGUCGAACGAGAAUCCGGGGCAACCCGGUAGUAAAGUGGCAAACGGGUGAGGAAUACAUGGGUAACCUACCCUUGAGAAGGGAAUAACCCGCCGAAAGGUGAGCUAAUACCCUAUACGCUAUCUUUUUUUCGAAAAAGAUAGGAAAGCCGGGUCGAGGACCUGGUACCCAAGGAGGGGCUCAUGUCCUAUCAGCUUGUUGGUGGGGUAACGGCCUACCAAGGCUACGACGGGUAGCUGGUCUGAGAGGAUGAUCAGCCACACUGGCACUGAGAUACGGGCCAGACUCCUACGGGAGGCAGCAGUGAGGAAUAUUGGACAAUGGGCGAAAGCCUGAUCCAGCCACGCCGCGUGGGUGAUGAAGGCC
rnacentral:rRNA from 1 species